rnacentral:rRNA from 1 species
ACGAACGCUGGCGGCGUGCUUAACACAUGCAAGUCGAACGGAAAGGCCCUGCUUUUGUGGGGUGCUCGAGUGGCGAACGGGGGAGUAACACGUGAGUAACCUGCCCUUGACUUUGGGAUAACUUCAGGAAACUGGGGCUAAUACCGGAGAGGAGCUCCUGCUGCAUGGUGGGGGUUGGGAAGAUUCGGCGGUUGGGGAUGGACUCGCGGCGUAUCAGCUUGUUGGAGGGGUAGUGGCUUACCAAGGCUUUGACGGGUAGCCGGCCUGAGAGGGUGACCGGCCACAUUGGGACUGCGAUACGGCCCAGACUCCUACGGGAGGCAGCAGUGGGGAAUAUUGCCCAAUGGGCGGAAGCCUGAUGCAGCAACGCCGCGUGCGGGAUGACGGCCUUCGGGUUGUAAACCGCUUUCGCCUGUGACGAAGCGUGAGUGACGGUAAUGGGUAAAGAAGCACCGGCUAACUACGUG